rnacentral:rRNA from 1 species
CGUGUAGGCGGCCAUGUCAGUCAGACGUGAAAGCCCUCGGCUUAACCGAGGAAUUGCGUUUGAUACUGCGUGGCUUGAGUGCGGGAGGGGAGAGUGGAAUUCCCAGUGUAGCGGUGAAAUGCGUAGAUAUUGGGAGGAACACCAGUGGCGAAGGCGGCUCUCUGGACCGCAACUGACGCUAAUGCGCGAAAGCGUGGGGAGCGAACG